GAUGAACGCUGGCGGCGUGCCUAAUACAUGCAAGUCGAGCGAACGGACGAGAAGCUUGCUUCUCUGAUGUUAGCGGCGGACGGGUGAGUAACACGUGGAUAACCUACCUAUAAGACUGGGAUAACUUCGGGAAACCGGAGCUAACACCGGAUGAUCUUUUGAACCGCAUGGUUCAAAAGUGAAAGACGGUCUUGCUGUCACUUAUAGAUGGAUCCGCGCUGCAUUAGCUAGUUGGUAAGGUAACGGCUUACCAAGGCAACGAUGCAUAGCCGACGUGAGAGGGGGAUCGGCCACACUGGAACUGAGACACGGUCCAGGCGCCUACGGGAGGCAGCAGUAGGGAAUCUUCCGCAGUGGGCGAAAGCCUGACGGAGCAACGCGACGUGAGUGGUGAAGGUCUUCGGAUCGUAAAACUCUGUUAUUAGGGAAGAACAUAUGUGUAAGUAACUGUACACAUCGUGACGGUACCUAAUCAGAAAGCCACGGCUAACUACGUG
rnacentral:rRNA from 1 species